rnacentral:lncRNA from 1 species
UCCACGAGGGACAUCCCUUUUACCAACUUGGCAAAGACUAAAAAUACAGAGCAUCCAGGAUCAAAGCGUAUUCGUGAUGCGAAGAACUAUCCCCUGACAAUCAGGCUGGAAGAAGGAGGGGUCAAAGAUUUCUACCCUGUUGGAAGAAGCCACUGUUGAAGUGUGAAAGGCUACUCUGCUUUCUGCGUCCAUUUAACCUUUGGCCUGCCCUAAAGAGCCAGCCAAGUGUCAAUCAGGGCUGAUUGGGCACCUGUGCCUGGAAACAAGACAGAGAAAUUUAGCUCUUCCAGGUCAUCAAACCAUCUCCAGAUGGCAAAGAACUUCUGAAGUUAUGAACCUAACUUGCUUGUGAUGCAAAUUAGUGACCUAGGGUGAGAUGCUUCAUUAAUGCUUACUCCUGUGAGCCUCCAAGGUGUCAGAAGUUGGACUGCUUACUCUCACAUUUUUUUUUUGCUGUGUAAUGUGCAUUAAAAUAAUUUAUAUUCAUAGAGAUGGUCCAAUAAAUUGCAUAUGGCUAGUUAAUAAGCUGCUAAAGCAGAGAAGAAAAUUAGAUUUCAUUUAGAAGAAAACAAUAUUUGGCUUUCCCCAUGGAAAUAUGUGAAAAAGC